CCGGCCUCUGCCCCGGCCUCCGCGCGGGCACCAGUCGUCGCCAGCCCGCGGCCGCGACAGGGCGCUCACCUCGGGGGAACUCUUCCCGCACCGCCCGCUCCUCCUGCUCUUCCCCGCGGCAGAAGCGGCGCCCUCCGCCCGGGGCUCUAGGAGCGCCCUGCGCCCCGCCCACCAGGCCGCGCCCUCCGCGCCUCCGGCCACGCCCCCUCAGCCCAGAGGGGACAGCCGAGGCCCGGAGACCUGAAGUAAUUGUCCAGAAGCCCAGCUGGAACCUGCCCAAAGAGGAAUCAAUCCCAUGCUCUCUGACUCCUAACCCAGUGCUCCUUCACUCGUGUCUAAAUUCAAGCUAACAUCUGAAGACCUUAAUGAUGGAUUCCCGUCAGCAAGUGAUACUUUGUAUGUUUGGGAGCUGAGGUGGUUUGAAGAGCGCUGCUCUGAUUUUGUUUUGAGAAGACAGAUCCUUUCUGUCCUACAAGCAUGGCAUUACUUCUGAUUUGCCUUCCCUUUUCUUUUUUCCUACCUCCUCCAUUGUUGGGAUUUGCUGCACUUUCAGGAUAAAGGAAAGAAAUAGCUCCCCAGAGGCUUGUGCCGCUAAAGGGUUAAGGAAAGACGACUUAUCAGAAGGUGGAGAAGUGGCUUUCUGGGAUGAACCCUGGUUCAAGGACAGAUAAGACUGUGGGUGGGGAGAGCAUCUGGGUGGGGGCACAGACAGUGCAGGUGGGUGACCCCCACCCCACCCACUAACUUGCCACUGGGAGCUCAGAGUGUAAUCAGAGUGCAGCCCACACUCCCACUCUCUAGUGAUAUGAUAUGAUCGGGCAAGGCGGGAAAGAUAGGCGUAAAAUAAAGCCUGGCACUUAAUUACAGUGUAAGAAUCCCAUUAUAGAGUCUUCCCGGCUCCCCUCCUUGGCUGGCAGCUUGAAGUGUGAGUGACAAAUUGCCUCGAGUGGGUCUGGAAGGGCUGCAUGCAGAGGAUGCACCGCCUCCAGGCUCUCCCUGUGUGGCAGUGCUUCCCAACCCCAUGUGGGAGCUGUGUGGAGGGAGGGGGACUCACACUCUGGAGUGCUGGGGGGUCUGUGGGGGUGCCCAGGGAGUACUGAGAGCUGGGACCUAAAGAGCACCCUGCUGAGGCGGGUCCCAGCCAUGUGGCUCAAUGUUCCCUUUUGUUAGUGGAAUCAGGAGCAAUGUGAGAGGAGAAGUUGGUACAAUGGCACCAUGUACCCUGCUACAUAGGUGUACCCCAAAAGACCAGCACUGUGCCUCGCUGUGUCAUAGGAGUGCUAUGAAGAGGUGGGGCAAGGAGGAGCCCCCUAGGAAUUUCCAAAGGCCCCUCCUCCCCCUGAGGAGAGCAGCUCCUGGCUGUAGACAUGAGGUUCCAGUCAGCGGUCUCCAGGGACUCACGUCAGACUCUGGGAGGAACCCUAGCUUCUGUCUACCUGGUCCUGUCUUCCCAUUAAUAUGGUCACUGAAUGAUAUGACAGCUUCCACCUGAAUGGAUUCUAGGCAGGGCAGCCUAGAAUCUUCUCACAGGUGGUCCUUUAAGUGAGCUUCCAUUAUCUUUCUCCAGGGUUUGCAGAGAAAGGGACUUUGGCUGAUCAGGACUAGAGGGUCCUUCACUUUUUUUCUCUGCACUAAAUCCCUAGUGGCACACAUACCCAUUGGGCCCCUCAUGGUGCUCACAAGCAGAGCUCUUCUGGAAGGUGAGAAGGUUGCUUUCACUCUCCUGUUUGAACCUUCAAUGGCUUCCCUGUCUACUGAGAACAAAAUCCAGAUUCCAAACUAAGGCCUCAGCUGUCUCUCCAGGCUUGUCCCUUUCCCCUGCGCUCUUGCCCCCAGCCUUACAAGCCGCCUUUCGCUCGUUUAAGGUCUUCAUGCAUGCUGCUCCUUCUGCCUGGAAUGCUCUUUCCCCACGACUUUGCAUGGCUCACUCCUGCCCAUCCUUGAGUCUCCCCUCUAAAGUCACUCCUUCAGAGGACUUCCCUACCCCUCUGUCUAAAUUAGGUAUCUCCUGUUAUUCUCUCUCAUGUAUCCUGUUCUUUUCAUUUACAACUCUUACCUCAAUUUGUAAUUUUAUAUUGAUGUGUGUAUUGGCUCGAGGUUAGUUCCCCCUAUUAGACUGUAAGCUUCGUGAAGAGAGGGACCUUGUCUGAUUUGCUUACCACUUCAAAUUCAGUAUCUGACAAGUGCCUCUCACUAAAUUUUUGUUGAUAAAUGAAUGAAUGUUACUAGCUGUCUUCAUUUUAAUGGGUAAAAUUAGCACUUAAUAAACCUGUAAAUGUAA